rnacentral:rRNA from 1 species
GAGGAAGACGCUGGCGGGCGUGGAUUAGGCAUGCAAGUCGGACGGUAGGGCUUUAUCGUAAGAUAGAGUUUGAGAGUGGCGAACGGGUGAGUAACACGUAGGAAUCUACCCUUAAGACGGGGACAACCCAGGGAAACUUGGGCUAAUACCGGAUGAGAGUGCGAGAGAUUGCAUUUAAAAGGAUGGCGAAAGUUGUCGCUUAGGGAUGAGCAUGCGUCCAAUUAGCUAGUUGGUGAGGUAAUGGCUCACCAAGGCUACGAUUGGUAGGGGUUCUGAGAGGAUGAUCCCCCACACUGGUACUGAGACACGGACCAGACUCCUACGGGAGGCAGCAGUGAGGAAUAUUGCGCAAUGGACGAAAGUCUGACGCAGCCAUGCCGCGUGAAGGAUGAAUGCCCUAUGGGUUGUAAACUUCUUUUGUACGGGAAAAAACUCCUCUACGUGUAGAGGACUGAUGGUACCGUAAGAAUAAGCACCGGCUAACUCCGUG